AGUGAACGCUGGCGGCAUGCUUUACACAUGCAAGUCGAACGGCAGCGCGGUCUUCGGCCUGGCUGCGGGUUGGGAAGUGGUGGGUGAUUCAUCGGAACGUCCCCAUCUGUUUUGUAUAGCCCGGCGAAGUCCGGAUUAAUACCGCAUUCGACCAUAGGGUGUAAGCGGGAGAGCGAGAGACCUUCCGCUCUUGGGGGGGCGGAUGUCGGAUUAGCUAGUUGGCGGGGUAAAGGGUUACCAAGGCGACGAUCCGUAGCUGGUCUGAGAGGACGAGCAGCCACACUGGAACUGAGACACGGCCCAGACUCCUACGGGAGGCAGCAGUGGGGAAUUUUGGACAAUGGGGGCAAGCCUGAUCCAGCCAUGCCGCGUGCGGGAAGAAGGCCUUCGGGUUGUAAAGCGCUUUUGUUCGGGAAGAAAUGCUCUGGGCUAAUACCCCGGGGGGAUGACGGUACCGGAAGAAUAAGCACCGGCUAACUACGUG
rnacentral:rRNA from 1 species